CCGGUUACAACAGAUGGACCACCAACACCACCAUAGAUACCGCCAACACCACCAACACUUCCACCAAUGCCACUAAGACCACUACUACUACCACCACCACCAGCAGCAAGACCUCCAAUACCACCACCAAGACCACUAAUACCACCACCAAGACCACCACCACCAUCACCAAUGCCACCAAUACCACCACCAUCACCACCAAUACCACAACUAAGACCACCAACAUCACCAC
rnacentral:lncRNA from 1 species